AAUAAAUAAAUAUAAAAAAAUGAACAAUGUAAAUAUGAGAGAUGAUGUAUGUGUUAAUUCAGUAGAGGGAAACUUUUCACAAGAUAUACAUAUAGCAAAUCAUUACAUAAAAUCAUAAAAAUAAAAUAUAAAUAAUAUAUACUUAUAUAAAAUAUGUUUAUAAAAAAUUAAAAUCCUAUUCUCUUUUAAAAGGUAUGCAAAAAAUUCUGAGGAAGAUUGACGGUGAUUGUCACAUUUGGAGCUGAUUUAUCAGACCUUUGAACUAUGAAUUACACAAUUUCUUAGCCAACCAGCACCUAUCACAAUGCCUGACACAUAGUAGGUACUAAUUCAAUGUUUUCUGAAAGAAACUAUGAAUAAAACAAAUGAAUGCAUUAAAAUUGGACUUAACUAUGAUGUUUUGUUCUCUCAAGAGUAAACAAUGAAUGCUUAGAGUUGUACUUUUCCCAUUUGUUUCUCUUACUAUUUUCAUUUUCUGCAUUAAGCCAGCUUUUAAGUUGCUUAGUGUCAUUUUACUGAUGCAAGAAGAAUUUGAAUACCAUCUGUCUUCAAAGGACUUCUUUAUUUCAAAAUUCAAAGCACUAUAAACAAGAGAUUUGGCAGAAACCUGUCAUCUGGCCCAGCCUUCCUCCUUCAAGCAGAUGAAUAAUUUAAUUAUCCACUAGGGAGACCUUUGCCCCUUUCAUGACUUUCUCACUUGACUGGUCAAGAAAUCAUUCCUUGUGGUAACUAUGCCCCCCCAUCUCUACUUUAAUUAAAUCCUUUUCUGCUGGCUUGGACAUCCAUAGAUAGAAAGAAUGACUAACCAUCAUGACCCCCGUGAAAACAUUUAUAUGCUUAUAAAAUUAAAUUUUUUUCUUUAGCUAAAUUUCCCAAAUCGAUUUACUUUUACCUCUGGGGCCUAUUUAUAUAGAACCUACGGGAGAGUGUAUAAUCACAUUUGUUAUUUAAAGUAAAUAAACUGAACCUCACAUUAAAAGCUUUAACCCAGCCGUUGCAAUCACAAAAGGGCAAAGAGUGGCUUUAACAAACAUUACCUCGGGCACAGAAUGUGAUAGAGUGUAUUACUAGUUCACAACUUUUUGUUCCCUUCCAUCCUGGCAACAUUUCCUGUAGACAUAGUGUAUUUCUCUACAGCGGUGACUCUGCACUUGACCACGCGACUUCCUUUGGCCAAGGGAGCAGAAGCUUUAAGGAUCUCAGUGAGUUCCAGGACCUCGAAAAGAAGCACUUGGAAAUCAAGAUGGCUAUGAUUCUUCAUCAUUGUGGCCGCCAAGCGAGACAUCUCAAAGCAAAGUGGUCGAAAGUCCAAUAUGUCUUCACGGUCACGCCUAAUAAAAGGACUUAUUUUACCUGCGACCCUCAGA